rnacentral:rRNA from 1 species
AGUGAACGCUGGCGGUAGGCCUAACACAUGCAAGUCGAACGGCAGCACAGUAAGAGCUUGCUCUUACGGGUGGCGAGUGGCGGACGGGUGAGGAAUACAUCGGAAUCUACUUUUUCGUGGGGGAUAACGUAGGGAAACUUACGCUAAUACCGCAUACGACCUACGGGUGAAAGCAUGGGAUCUUCGGACCUUGCGCGAUUGAAUGAGCCGAUGUCGGAUUAGAUAGUUGGCGGGGUAAAGGCCCACCAAGGCGACGAUCCGUAGCUGGUCUGAGAGGAUGGUCAGCCACACUGGAAGUGAGACACGGUCCAGACUACUACGGGAGGCAGCAGUGGGGAAUAUUGGACAAUGGGCGCAAGCCUGAUCCAGCCAUACCGCGUGGGUGAAGAAGGCCUUCGGGUUGUAAAGCCCUUUUGUUGGGAAAGAAAAGCAGCAGGUUAAUACCCCGCUGUUCUGACGGUACCCAAAGAAUAAGCACCGGCUAACUUCGUG